UUCAGCUGACAGAAACUCUUCUAACUAUUGUUAUAAGACUACAGACUACAGACUACAGACUACAGACUACAGACUACAGACUACAGACUACAGACUACAGACUACAUGUUCUACUGUUAUAAGACUGUAGACUACAGACGACAUGUUCUAUUGUUAUAAGACUGUAGACUACAGACUACAUGUUCUACUGUUAUAAGACUACAGACUACAUACUACAUGUUCUAUUGUUAUAAGACUACAGACUACAGACUACAUGUUCUAUUGUUAUAAGACUACAGACUACAUGUUCUACUGUUAUAAGACUACAGACUACAUACUACAUGUUCUACUGUUAUAAGACUACAGACUACAGACUACAUGUUCUACUGUUAUAAGACUACAGACUACAUGUUCUACUGUUAUAAGACUAUAGACUACAGACUACAGACUACAUGUUCUACUGUUAUAAGACUACAGACUACAGACUACAU